GAACCCCAGGGCAAAGGGCACCAGGGUCUGGGAGUGACAUGGGGCCUGUGAAAGGCGAGACACUGGCCUGCAGAGGGUGCUCCAGAGCUGGAAACAGAGGUAAUUCUCAGGAUAACCAGCAGGAGGCGCCACUGGCUCUGUAGGAAAGAAUGCAAUCUGGGCCUACCAGCAAUCAGUUCAGCAGCAAGCCAGCUUAGAGUAAGGUUAGACAGCUUGGCUCACCCAAGCAGGCAGCUGGCCAACAUCAAUCAGCUGUACCUCAUGCAACCACCUGCUACUCUACCACAGACUCACUACUCCAUCUGGGCCCCCUGUGACUAUGUGGCACAAAGCCCAAUUAUCUUGAUUUGAUCUGCCCCGGAAGAGUCUGCUUGUCACCCAAGAGUAUACAGAAGAAGUGACAGGAGAGGAUAAGGAUAUAGAAGAACUUCAGGAAUCAGAAAUGCUUUAAUACUUACUUGCCAAAACAUCAGUACAUGGAGUAUAAAACAAAAUGUGCCUUCUGUGUUAGGACUUGCAUAGAUACAUGAGAUGAUCAAUAAAAGAGGCUUUUUGUUACUAAUAAGAAUUUUCACUGAGACAUGACCCAAAGAUGUUCUUUAUGCUGACCUCCCCAGAGCCAGCAACCAUCAUACUGCACAGAAAAUCAGCUAAAAUAGAAAGCAAAAAUGAAUCAGAAAUUGAAUUAGCACAGCUAUACUUCCUACCUCACUGUAUUUUUAAGUUCAUAUUUUUUAUCAACUUUGAUACAAGCAAUCUUGAUACCACAAAUUCACAAAUGAAAUUUUACAUAAGGCUCCAUUUUCAGGUUAACUGAAGAUUUGAAAUAAUGGCACUGCACUUUUAGCUGAAAAUACGCCCAUUAACACAUUAGAGCUCUUUAAAAGGAUUAUGCAGCCAGUGGCUCUUGAACAAAUAGUAUGCGGCUGGCUCAGUUUAAUACUUGAAAAAUCUUUGAGUCUUGUUCACAAAAAGAGAAUCCUAUUGUGUACUGCAAAUAUGAAUCAUGUUGGUGGGGUUCAGCAGCUGUGUGCAAAUUAUUAUCUAGCUAGCAAUAGCCAUAGGGAAACAUUGUCAACAUCUGGAGUUUUUAUUAAACAAAUACCAACAGCUACCAUUUGAUUGCUCUUUCCCAAAGCAAAGAUUAAAAAAUAGUCCAUCAGACACCUGCUGCAUGAGGUCCCCUCCACAGACACAAUAGUAUUUUUUUUUACUUUUUCUUUUAAAAAAGUGUUUUAAAUAAUAUUUUAAAAUUCUAAAAACUUCUUAGAACUUCACAAAUCCAUUUGUGAUUAAAUUUUGGAAAAACAUGAUUGUUACAUCAAACUUUUCUCUUAAAGUAGCUCAAAAAACCUUACGCUAAAAUCCUAUCUGUCUUCUCAGUGUUUUCAUACAUAGCAUAAGUUUGGUUUUUUCAUGAACAGUAGAUUAAAUGAACAGAGAUGUAAAACUCCAGAUAAAAUGAGGAGCACAUAAAUUAUUACUGGUCCAGGAUUUUUUGUGUGUGUAACAGGCUCAAUCCUUUCCUAUGGUCUGGACAAUUUAGGAAACUUUUACAGCACUAUGUAUUUUAUUUGGUGCUCCUCCUUAGUGAUUUCAGUUGGGAACAGAAGUGGAAAUGCAUCAAGAGGAGCUAUUCUGGUGACAUUUCAAACCCCACCAAAAUCAGGAAGUAAUAAACAAUAUUUUAUGAGAGUCUGUGUUUUUAUAUAGCAAGUCUAUUCCAUUACAUGUUGUAGACUGAAGCUAUCCGUUUCUUUAAAUGUUUAUUUCCUUUGUUUAUUGAUUAGACCUUGUCAACAGUAUUUUAUCUGAGAUCACAUAAUUCUUAAAAUAAAACCAGCAAAGAAAUAGCUACUUCUGAUCCAAAUACUGUCGAAUUCCUCCCAAUUUUGUGGUUAUAUAGUCAAAACUCCUGGAUUGACCCUAAUUGAAAAUAGAACUCUUUCGUAUAUGGACCAGGAGCAUCCUCAUUUUAAUCUUGAUUUUGAUGGCAUACCAUAAUCAUACA